rnacentral:rRNA from 1 species
UACGUAGGGGGCAAGCGUUGUCCGGAUUUAUUGGGCGUAAAGAGCGUGUAGGCGGCCUGACAGGUCUGCUGUGAAAACUCGAGGCUCAACCUCGAGAUGUCGGCGGAAACCGUCUGGCUAGAGUCCGGAAGAGGAGAGUGGAAUUCCUGGUGUAGCGGUGAAAUGCGCAGAUAUCAGGAAGAACACCUAUGGCGAAGGCAGCUCUGUGGGACGGUACUGACGCUGAGACGCGAAAGCGUGGGGAGCGAACAGG